UGGCUCUGGCAUCGAUGAAGAACGCAGCGAAAUGCGAUAAGUAAUGUGAAUUGCAGAAUUUAGUGAAUCAUCGAAUCUUUGAACGCACAUUGCGCCCCUUGGUAUUCCGAGGGGCAUGCCUGUCCGAGCGUCAUUACAACCCCUCCAGCUUGCUGGGUCUUGGGCCUUCGCCUCCGGGCGGGCCUCAAAAGCAGUGGCGGCCCUGCCGGGUCCUGAGCGCAGUAACUUCUCUCGCUACAGGGUCCUGACAGGUGCUGGCCAGCAACCCCAUCUUUCUAAUGGUUGACCUCGGAUCAGGUAGGGAUACCCGCUGA
rnacentral:misc_RNA from 1 species